AUGCGGUCACACCAUUGCCCAAACAGCAGCAGAUUCCCCUUGCCUUUUCUAGGAUUGGCUCUCGUGCUGCUGAUAUCCUUGGCCCCUCCGACCAGCUCCUGCACGGAGCAGGAGAAGAGCUCCCUCCUCCAGCUCCUUGCUGGGUUCUCGCAGGACGGCGGCCUCGGGUCGUCAUGCCGGAACGAUACGGACUGCUGCACUUGGGAAGGGAUCACCUGCAGCCCCAACAGGAUGGUCAGUGCUGUUUUGUUGGCCUCUCGAGGCCUCGAGGGGUCCAUCUCGCAGUUCCUUGGAAAUCUCACAGGCUUAUUGCGCCUCAACCUGUCGUGCAACUCACUGUCCGGUGGCUUGCCGCUGGAAUUGGUAUCAUCCAGCAACAUCACUGUCCUUGAUGUCAGUUUCAACCGCCUGACAGGAGCCCUGAGCGAGCUGCCAUCUUCAACCCCUGCAUGGCCUUUGCAGAGCCUGGUCGUGCUCAAUGCCAGCACCAAUAGUUUUACUGGGCAUCUACCAACUACACUCUGUCUCAGCGCACCAUCUUUUUCUGUGCUUGAACUCAGUAUUAACAAAUUCAGUGGAAAUAUUCCUCAUGGACUCGGUAAUUGCUCCAUGCUGAAAUUGCUAAGCGCUGGCUAUAACAACCUCAGUGGAACUCUUCCAGAUGAGGUCUUCAAAGUUACAUCAUUAGAGCACCUCUCUUUACCUAAUAAUUGGUUAGAAGGAGCACUCAAUGGCAUCACCAAGCUCACAAAUUUGGUCACCCUUGAUCUUGGGGGCAACAAGAUCAACGGCAAUAUACCGGAUGCCAUAGGCAAGCUGAAGAGUUUGGAGGAGCUGCAUUUGGAACAAAACCACAUGUCAGGGGAGCUUCCAUCAGCAUUGAUCAACUAUACACAUCUCACAACAAUUAUCUUAAAGGGCAACCAAUUUCACGGAGAACUUACCAAGGUCAACUUCUCAAACUUGCCCAAUCUAAAAAAGUUAGAUCUCCUGCACAAUAACUUCAUCGGCAACAUUCCAGAAAGCUUAUACUCGUGCAGCAAGCUGACUGCACUACGGCUCUCCAGCAAUCAUUUCCAUAGCCAACUGUCAGAAAAGAUAGACAUAUCAAACAACAGCUUUACAGGUGAAAUUUCAACUGCCUUAAUGGAGAUGCCAAUGCUAAAAUCAGACAAGACUGCACCAAAGGUCUUCUUUGAACUGCCUGUGUAUCUUUUCAGUCCAUUUAUCCAAUACCUCAAACCUGGUGCUUUUCCAAAAGUGCUUAAUCUAGCCAUCAAUAAAUUCACUGGUGUGAUCCCAGGGGAGAUCGGUCAACUAAGAGCGCUCGUUUCACUUAAUUUGAGCUCCAACAAAUUAUCAGGAGAGAUCCCACAACCAAUCUGCACCCUCACAAAUCUGCAGAUGCUCGACAUGUCCAGCAAUCAUCUUACUGGCCAGCUUAGCACGUUUCCAGAUUCUAGCUUUGAUGAAAACCCAAAAUUGUGUGGUCCUUCGAUUGUAAACCAUUGCGGUUCAGCGGAAGCAAGUCCAGAGUCCAUCAACUCCAGAGAAGAGAUUGGCAGUAAGACCAGCUCCUGCACCGAGCAGGAGAAGAGCUCCCUUCUCCAGCUCCUCGCCGGGCUCUCGCAGGACGGCGGCCUCACGACGUCGUGGCGGCACGACACCGACUGCUGCACAUGGGAAGGGAUCACCUGCAAUCAAGAUAGGAAGGUCACUGAUGUUUCGUUGGCUUCUCGAGGCCUCGAGGGGCCCAUCUCGCCGUUCCUUGGCAACCUCACCGGACUUUUGCGCCUCAACCUUUCCCGGAACUUGCUGUCUGGUGGCUUGCCACUGGAAUUAGUGUCAUCCAGCAGCAUCCUUGUUCUUGACAUCAGCUUCAACCGCCUCACAGGAGGCCUGAGCAAGCUGCCAUCUUCAACCCCUGCGCGGCCUCUGCAGGUACUCAACAUCUCAAGCAACUGGCUUACAGGCAUAUUACCAUCCACAACAUGGGAGGUGAUGAAGAGCCUGGUCGUUCUUAAUGCUAGUUCCAACAGAUUUACUGGUCAGAUACCAACUACACCAUGUGUUAGCGCGCCAGCUUUUGCUGUGCUUGAGCUCAGUUUCAACCAACUCAGUGGGAACAUCCCUCCAGGACUCAGUAAUUGCUCGGUGCUGAAAUUGCUUGGUGUUGGCUACAACAACCUCAAUGGUACACUUCUAGAUGAACUCUUCAACGUAACCUCGUUAGAGCACCUCUCGUUGCCUAGCAAUAGGUUAGAAGGAGCUCUCGAUGGCAUUAGCAAGCUCACAAAUCUGGUCACCCUUGAUCUUGGCGGGAAUGAGCUCAGCGGCAAUAUUCCAGAGUCUAUAGGUGAUCUGAAGAGAUUGGAGGAGCUGCAUUUGGAACACAACAACAUGUCAGGGGAGCUGCCAGCAGCUCUAGGCAACUGCACAAAUCUUGUAACAAUUGACUUCAAGGCAAACCAAUUUAGUGGGGAACUUACCAAGGUCAACUUCGCAAGUCUGUCCAAUCUAAAUAAACUAGAUCUUCUUUCCAAUAAUUUCACCGGCACAGUUCCAGAAAGCAUAUACUCCUGUAGCAAGCUAACUGCACUACGGCUAUCUUACAAUCCUUUCCACGGUCAAUUGUCAGAAAAAUUAUUCAAUAUGAAGUCCCUCUUAUUCCUAUCACUUGCUAAUAACUCUCUCACAAAUAUCACAAGAACACUUCAGAUGCUUAGCAGUUCCAGGAGCCUCACCACCCUUUAUAUUGGGUGCAACUUCCUGCAUGAGACCAUGCCAGAGGAUGUCAGCAUUGAUGGUUUUCAGAAUCUCCAGGUUCUUUAUAUAAAUCAUUGUUCAUUGUCUGGAAAAAUACCUGAUUGGUUAUCAAAGCUACCGAAUUUGGGGAUGCUAUUUUUGCAAGGCAAUCAACUAACUGGACCGAUACCUGAAUGGAUCAGCAGCCUAAAUUUUCUCUUCUCUCUAGAUAUAUCAAACAACAGCCUUACAGGGGAAAUUCCAAGGUCCUUAAUGGAGAUGCCAAUGCUAGAAUCAGAUAAUACUGCACCAAAGGUAUUCUUUGAGCUGCCUGUUUGGAACAAGAACCAAUUUCUGCAAUACCUCACGCCCAGUGCUUUUCCUAAAGAGCUUAAUCUAGCCAUGAAUAGUUUCACUAGUAUGAUUCCGGCAGAGAUCGGUAGGUUACAAGGACUAUUUUCACUUAACUUGAGCUCCAACAGAUUAUCUGGAGAGAUACCAGAACAGAUCUGCAAUCUCACGAACCUGCAGAUGCUCGACUUGUCUGGUAAUCAUCUCACUGGUAAGAUUCCAGCUGCAUUGAACAAUCUGCACUUCCUUUCCAGAUUCAACAUUUCUAAUAAUGACCUAGAAGGCCCUAUUCCAAACAUGGGCCAGUUCAGCACGUUUCCGGAUUCUAGCUUUGGUGGAAACCCAAAACUGUGUGGCCCUAUGGUUGCAAACCAUUGUGGUUCGGCAGAAGCGAGUCCAGUUUCCAUUGACCCCAUAAAACAGAUUGGUAGUGAAGCCAUCAUCUUUAUGACCGCCUUCGGUGUUUUCUUUGGAGUAGGAGUCCUAUAUGAUCAGAAAGUCUUAGCUAGACAUUUUGGCUGA
rnacentral:rRNA from 1 species